rnacentral:sRNA from 1 species
UAAGUGUGCAUCGUCAAUAAUAAGAUUAG